UACGUAGGUGGCAAGCGUUAUCCGGAAUUAUUGGGCGUAAAGAGUGAGCAGGCGGCUGAUUAAGUCUGAAGUUAAAUCGGGGGGCUCAACCCCAUCUCGCCUUGGAAACUGAUCGGCUAGAGUACGGGAGAAGUGAGGGGAACUCCAUGUGUAGCGGUGAAAUGCGUAGAUAUAUGGAAGAACACCAGUGGCGAAGGCGCUUCACUAGCCCGAAACUGACGCUCAGUCACGAAAGUGUGGGGAGCAAAUA
rnacentral:rRNA from 1 species